GCCAGGCAUGGUGAUGCACACCUGUAAUCCUAGCUAUUUGGGAGGCUGAGGCAGGCAAAUCACUUGAGCCCAGGAAUUCGAGGCUGCAGUGAGCCAUAAUUGCAUGCCACUGUACUCUAGCCUGAGCAACAGAGUGAGACCUUGUCUCAU
ensembl:misc_RNA Metazoa_SRP Metazoan signal recognition particle RNA